rnacentral:rRNA from 1 species
GACGAACGCUGGCGGCGUGCCUAAUACAUGCAAGUAGAACGCUGAAGGAGGAGCUUGCUUCUCUGGAUGAGUUGCGAACGGGUGAGUAACGCGUAGGUAACCUGCCUGGUAGCGGGGGAUAACUAUUGGAAACGAUAGCUAAUACCGCAUAAGAGUAGAUGUUGCAUGACAUUUGCUUAAAAGGUGCAAUUGCAUCACUACCAGAUGGACCUGCGUUGUAUUAGCUAGUUGGUGAGGUAACGGCUCACCAAGGCAACGAUACAUAGCCGACCUGAGAGGGUGAUCGGCCACACUGGGACUGAGACACGGCCCAGACUCCUACGGGAGGCAGCAGUAGGGAAUCUUCGGCAAUGGACGGAAGUCUGACCGAGCAACGCCGCGUGAGUGAAGAAGGUUUUCGGAUCGUAAAGCUCUGUUGUAAGAGAAGAACGAGUGUGAGAGUGGAAAGUUCACACUGUG